ACGACUCAACUGGUUGGCAGCUGCCUCAUUCUCUUUUUUCAGAGAGAGGUACUUAUUUAUUUUCGACCUGAGAUUAGGCAAGACUACCCGCCGAAUUUAAGCAUAUUAAUAAGCGGAGGAAAAGAAAACAACUGUGAUUACCUUAGUAAUGGCGAAUGAAACGGUAAAAGCCCAGCACUGAACCACCGAUUAUCUCGGUCGCGUGGAAUGUAGUGUUUGGGAAAGCCUCAUAGCAGUGAAAUGUCCAGUCUAAGUCGACCUUGACUGGCGCCAUGGCCCGUAGAGGGUGAUAGGCCCGUACGACGGACGAUUUGCUGCUCUGGCUUUUCUCUAGAGUCGGGUUGCUUGGGAGUGCAGCCCAAAGUGCGUCGUAAACUCGACGUAAGGCUAAAUAUGACCCCGAGACCGAUAGCGAACAAGUACCGUGAGGGAAAGUUGAAAAGAACUUUGAAGAGAGAGUUCAAUAGUACGUGAAACUGUGUAGUGGUAAACGGAGGGGUUUCUCGAAGUUUGUAUCGGAGGUUCAGGUUGACGGUAGCUCAGCAGUAGUGUUCGAGUGUCGCAAGAUCUCUGCAUUGCUGUUUGUGUUAUUGGCGGCUGCACUUCUCCGGUACUUCACACGACGAACCGCUGGCACCAGACCGCAGACAUGGGUGAAGUUCGUUCCUUGUGUUCGAGCCCUGUGUUCUGGGCUUUGGAGCCGGCGGGGAUUUGAGCAGUCAUGUAUAGCAUGUGUCCAUGUUUGACACCGUCUG
rnacentral:rRNA from 1 species